AUGGAACUGCUCAGUAUUUCACAAUUCAGUAAAAAUAAUGACCUCACAAGAACUACUCACCAGCCCUGUUCCGCAUCAUUCCUCUGCGAGGCGUUUACACUUCUGAGGCCACCUCCAAAACCUUACGUAUACAAUAUUAAUUUUUGCCACAUCUGGGAACCGCUGGAUGUUAAGGGAACAACCCCACUCUGCUCCGUGAGUUCCCUGUGGACGUUAGCGGCUUUUCUGGGUGAUCUCAUGGAGCCUUGUGACUUCACCUGCAGCCUCUGGUCCCCAAGGCCCAGGCCUGAGCUCUCAUCCUUAUGCUCUGCAGCCUCAGCUGGGCUUGGGCAGCCCAGCUGAGUUUCCCCCUGCCAGCACAGCCUCACGUCACUCUGCUCGGGGCCACCCUGCUUCUGUACCUGGCCAGGACUGGUGCUUUCUUCAAUCAGAGCCACUGAAAAUGGGAAUGAGUCUGUGGAGAGGGGGCUUCCUGUGA
rnacentral:lncRNA from 1 species